AGAGGUUUGUUUUGCAGCAGGAAGGCUUUAUAAGGAAGCUCUGUGGAACAAAUCGUCAGUCCAAUUUUGCUCAAGCAUCAAAGAAGACAAAUCAAAAGAUGAAGUUGUUAUUCGUUCUUUUGGCAUUCGUUGCCGCCGCCAGCGCCGCCAGCUACGGCUGUGGCUACAGCUACAAAUACAACUAUUGCAGCUACAAACGUUACUACGUUUACCCCAAACCUCAAGUCUACUGCUACAA